UUUUAAUUAAUAAAAAACAAAAUAAUAAAUGGUAAUGACAAGAAUUGUUGAUUAAGUUAUAUAAUAUAUAUUAAAUGAUAUAUAUAUAUUAUAUACCUGGAGCACACAAGCUGGUUUAAUACUAAGUGUAAGUGCUAGCAAUCUAAACAAACCCUUAUCCCGAUGUUUGAGAAGUAUAGUGAGUAAACGCUAGAACUUUAGAGUUGUUUUGGUUUUCAGACGGGAAGAGCCCCCCGGAUCUGCUUUUGGAGCGGCGUCUGAAUGACGCAGAGAGAGCUGCCACAUUCCCUGGAGAGCUCGGCGUGUGACAUUACAGACCGGCCCGUGAAACACGAGCGCCGGAUAAAUUAACAGCCAUCUCUCAAGGGGCUUUUUCUUAAGAGGGUCAGCAGAUCUGCCAAACGCCCGCGACUCUCUCCGCUCUGAACGAUACACAUUACAGCUGCAACAUUUGGCCUGGAUUUCAACCCUCAGUCGCUGUUUAGAUCCAAUUCAACACUUUUCCAUUAGAUCUUCUUCAGUGACCCAGUGCACUGUGAACAUGUGUGCUGGUGAAGAUCUCCUGUGAGAGACUGACUCUCUCUCUCUGUGUGUGUGGGGCCCUCAUUCACUAGAUGAGCGUCUGUGUUUCUCCUCCUCCAUGUGAACUAACACUGCUUCAGUCUGAACUCAGGGGGAGGAGCGUAAGCGGCAGGGUGUUGUCUGCAGUCUUCCUUCCCGGAGGAAAUCUUUCCUCAAAUGCACCAUGUCUGAUCUCUGUGACUGACAGCAGAGGCCUCUGGGAGUUUUGUCAUUUAACUGCAAGUUCUGCAGCAUUAAAGCAAUCGAUUGAGCUUAUGUUAUGCAGUUGAAGCAUUUUGUUAUGAAUCUGGUGAAGUAUAAAUAUUUGAGCUGGUCUGCAGGUAUGGAGUAUCAUCUGGCAUCAAACGCUACAGUAUUGGGUACUAACAGAUGCUCAUACAUGACUGCCUGACUGUACAUUAUCUCUUACAACAUAAAAACAAACCAAAAAAUUAUGAUAUAGAAAUGGAAAAUAAAAUACAAAAAGUAAAACAAAAAUGCUACAUACAAAGUAAAUUAAAUACUAAAUAGAAUAAAAAGAAAUCGAAUAUAAAACGUUAGAUAAAAAUAUAAAAUAAAUGAAUUGUCUCUUUGAUUAAUUGUGUGUUUAUAGUUUAUAUAUCAGUGUUUAUUUUGAGAUUAUGGCCAGUUUACUGUACAUUAUGACCUGCUUUGUGGUACUAAAUAAAAUAUACAAUUAAUUUAUUCAUAAAGAAUUAUAUUAAGAUAUUCAUAAAAACUAUUCCAAAAAAGAAAAAAAGUAAUUCUCUUGUUAAUAACAUAUAACCAAAUAUACAUUUGAUGACCCUGUCAGUGUUAUUUUGUGUGAUUAUAAAUGGAUGGCUGCACAUUAUCUCAACAUAAAAAAU
rnacentral:lncRNA from 1 species